UACGUAGGGUGCGAGCGUUAAUCGGAAUUACUGGGCGUAAAGCGUGCGCAGGCGGUUUUGUAAGUCAGAUGUGAAAUCCCCGGGCUUAACCUGGGAAUGGCAUUUGGGACUGCAAGGCUUGAGUGCGGCAGAGGAGACUGGAAUUCCUGGUGUAGCAGUGAAAUGCGUAGAUAUCAGGAGGACCCCCGAUGGCGAAGGCAGGUCUCUGGGCUGACACUGACGCUCAUGCACGAAAGCGUGGGGAGCAAACAGG
rnacentral:rRNA from 1 species